rnacentral:rRNA from 1 species
UACAGAGGGUGCAAGCGUUAAUCGGAAUUACUGGGCGUAAAGGGUCUGUAGGCGGAUUAUUAAGUCGGAUGUGAAAUCCCCGGGCUCAACCUGGGAACGGCAUUCGAUACUGGUAGUCUAGAGUGUGCAAGAGGAUGGGGGAAUUCCUGGUGUAGCAGUGAAAUGCGUAGAGAUCAGGAGGAACAUCAAUGGCGAAGGCACCUUUCUGGGGCAACACUGACGCUGAGAGACGAAAGCGUGGGGAGCAAACAGGAUUAGAUACCCCGGUAGUCCACGCCCUAAACGAUGUCAACUAACUGUUCGGAGUCACUAAGAUUCUGAGUAGUGAAGCUAACGCGAUAAGUUGACCGCCUGGGGAGUACGGCCGCAAGGUUGAAACUCAAAGAAAUUGACGGGGGCCCGCACAAGCGGUGGAGUAUGUGGUUUAAUUCGAUGCAACGCGAAGAACCUUACCCGGUCUUGACAUGGUAGGAAUCUUGUAGAGAUACGAGAGUGCCUUCGGGAACCUACACACAGGUGCUGCACGGCUGUCGUCAGCUCGUGUCGUGAGAUGUUGGGUUAAGUCCCGCAACGAGCGCAACCCUUGCCCUUAGUUACCAUCAUUUAGUUGGGGACUCUAAGGGGACUGCCGGUGAUAAACCGGAGGAAGGUGGGGACGACGUCAAGUCAUCAUGGCCCUUAUGACCGGGGCUACACACGUACUACAAUGGUCGGUACAGACGGUCGCAAGCUCGCGAGAGUAAGCUAAUCCGAGAAAACCGAUCGUAGUCCGGAUCGCAGUCUGCAACUCGACUGCGUGAAGUCGGAAUCGCUAGUAAUCGCAAAUCAGAAUGUUGCGGUGAAUACGUUCCCGGGCCU